rnacentral:rRNA from 1 species
CUUUAAGUGGCGGACGGGUGAGUAACACGUGAGUAACCUACCUUUCAAAGGGGGAUAACGUCUGGAAACGGACGCUAAUACCGCAUAAUACUAUUUGAGGGCAUCCUUGGAUAGUCAAAGGAGAAAUCCGAUGGGAGAUGGACUCGCGGCUGAUUAGAUAGUUGGCGGGGUAGAGGCCCACCAAGUCGACGAUCAGUAGCCGGACUGAGAGGUUGAACGGCCACAUUGGGACUGAGACACGGCCCAGACUCCUACGGAAGGCAGCAG